rnacentral:lncRNA from 1 species
UUUCCGGAAGAAUGUGCAUCUUGCAAGAAGCCCUGGAAUCCGCUGCCCGGCACAGAAUGUCAUUCAGGGUUGACCCCCUCUCUCUCGGGCUUUGCUUGGCUUUCCUUUCACCACCUGUUACCUCAUUUCAUUCAGAAUUCCUGUUGGUUUCUGCGCUGGAAUCCCUGAUUUUCCUCAAGUAUGGAAAACACAGCACUGAUGAGAUACCAGUUGCUUUUCAGCGGUAAACUGCCAGGCUUAUAA